GAGAAAUGGAGAUUACAACAUAUGUGCUUUGCUCUUCAGGUUAGGCCUAGCAAGGUCCUAGAGAGGAUAUUUUGUACUUUUGCUGUGUCACGGACAAACCUUUCAUUCCUAGCUUUUGUGAGUAGUAGUCCCUCUUUUUUCAACCAUAAUUUAUAAAGCAAAGUGCUAGAUGCUAAUGUUGCAUAUAAUAAGGUUGUGGCAGGAAGAAGACAUAAGGACAUACAAUUUCAGUACAAUAAGGAAUUAUAUUAAUUGAGAUAUCUAUGGGUUAAGAGAGUGUUGAGAAAAGAUAUCUACCAUGUCUUAGAGAAGGAAAAAUAAAACAAAAUCACAACAGGUUUAUGAAUAACUUUCUAGUAGGUCGGUGCCUGGGCUGAGCAUGCAAACAGAAGAAAGUCUGUUUCAGGUUGUAGAGAGAAUGGAACAGCCAUUCACAGCUCAGAGAGAAAACUAAGGAAAAAGACCGGAAAUGGGAGGGAAUCACUUGUGUUUCAAGCUCUACCCCCUGGAAAGCAUGGGCAGCACACACAGGUGAUGGAAGGAUUUGUUAUCCACUAUGUUAGUUUCUCUUUCACUCUAGGUAGGAGUGUCUACUGGAAGGAGAGAGAGAGGACCGUGCUGAUCGUCUACUUCAUGAAAUCAUCUUGAAAGGUCCAUAUUAUACACUGUGAUAUUCCCACUGCUCAGCAACGAAUCCACCACCUGCUCUUAAGAAAUGAUGCUGAGAUGUCUGCGAACAAAAAGCAGAGAAUCAGAAAGCCUAUGGUAAGGAAAACUCAACUGAAUUAUCAAUGCCAAUAGCAAAUAACACUGGAUUACAUUAAAAAUGGAAAACUAUCCAAAUUAAUUCAUGUAGAUGGCUCGCCAUGCAAACAGGACUAUGGAGAGAUAAAGGUAUGCAAACUGUAAAAGAGAAGAUAAAAGUCAUGAAGAAAUGGAAUGAAGUGGAAUGGAAUAGAAUAGAAUGGGAGUACCAAAAAGUGUCCAAGGAAAAAGACAGAUCAAAAGACAAGAAUUUGAAUCAACAGAUUUUGCAUUUUUGACCUGGAAGGAAUUCUAGAAAUGUGAAUCACUGCAGAAAACAUCCUGUUUUUCAGUACCCACCAUUUCAAUGAAAAGGAGAAUUGUGACCAUUAAGAAAAAGCCAUGCCACAAAUAAUCCCUUCCAAACUUCCAGUUAACUGUGAACAAAAUAUAAAUAUCAUAGUGAGGGAAAUAUAUUUUAAAAUUCGAUUUUGCCUAAUUCCUGGGGAAAAUCCUGUUGCAUCUUUACCAUGGAAAACUAUGAAAAAGAUUUUAAGCAAAUCUAUUUACUCAGGAGACCAAGGCAACUGUGAGCUAAGAUCAUCUGUACUCAAGGAGAGGUCAAAGAGGGUGGGAGAUCAUUCACUAUUGAGGACCUUUAGUGGAUGAAUGCACCCAUUCUGUCCCACAUGCAUUUCAUUAAGAAAUAAUAAGUUAGCUAACACUGCCAAAAUCAAGUUCACCUAAGUAACAGGUCAUUAUGUCUAAUGACCUUUCUCUUUAAUAGGUUAAAGUUUCCAUCCAAGUGGCUAAAAUAAAAAUAACAAAAAAUACCAAUAUUUUAGACAUGGGACAACCAGAGAAAUCUUUAUAUCUUGCCAGUGGGAGUGUAAAUUGUUAGAAGCAUGCUGAAAGUCUAGCUGGCCAUUCCAAAAUUGUAUAAUUGAAUGUCUAUGACUGAAUGCCACUUCCAGAUUUGUAUGAUCAACAUAAUGUGUAUGAAUUUUCAUCAAAGAAUAUGCCCAGUAAUCAUCAUAGCAGGAGUUUUCAUAAUAGACCCAAACUGGAAACUGUGAAGUGACUUUUGUCAGCAGAGUAAUUUCAUAAAUUCUGGUAUAUUCUCCUAAAGAACUAACUUGCUGCCAUAAGAAUGAAUGGAAUUCAUCUAGGUUCAUUAUGGAAAAAUCCUGCAAAAGCAUGGAUCACUUUUGCAAAUGCAGUAUGAUAUAAAAGAAAUAAGGCAAAAAGAAUAUGUGUUAUUUCAUUCCCUUUGCAAACAUUGUAGAGACAUUUUCAAAUGUGCAUUCCAUUUACCUGCAUGCUUUGUCAGUGUGGCUUGUGUCUAGAUGUUCCACAAAGACUCAUGCAGUCAUAGGUGGGGCUUUUUCAG